rnacentral:rRNA from 1 species
CAGUCGCCACGGGAAUACGUAGGUGGCAAGCGUUGUCCGGAAUUAUUGGGCGUAAAGGGCUCGCAGGCGGUUUCUUAAGUCUGAUGUGAAAGCCCCCGGCUCAACCGGGGAGGGUCAUUGGAAACUGGGAAACUUGAGUGCAGAAGAGGAGAGUGGAAUUCCACGUGUAGCGGUGAAAUGCGUAGAGAUGUGAGGAACACCAGUGGCGAAGGCGACUCUCUGGUCUGUAACUGACGCUGAGGAGCGAAAGCGUGGGGAGCGAACAGGAUUAGAUACCCCUGUAGUCCCUGUCUCUUAUACA